UUGCUCUGAGACAGGGAUUGCGGAGGAUGAUGCGGGCACGGACCAGUCCUGUCUCUCAAGGGAAUUGGAGAAUUUGGAGUCUUUGAGAGAGUGAUAAUUGAAGGAAUUAGAGAGACAGAAGAGAAAUUUGGAGCAGUUUGGGGAAAGAAUGAGAGGGAUUAAAUGGAAAUUAUUACACUGUAGACAGCGGAGAGGAGGCGGAACG
rnacentral:lncRNA from 1 species